GGAGCAGUGGUCUAGUGGCGUAUGGCGCUCUCUGUCUUAGAGAGAGGUCGGUGGUUCAAAUCCAUCCUGCUCCA
rnacentral:tRNA from 1 species